rnacentral:rRNA from 1 species
CGUACACUCCUGCGGGAGGCAGCAGUGAGGAAUAUUGGACAAUGGGUGGAAGCCUGAUCCAGCCAUCCCGCGUGCAGGAAGACGGCCCUAUGGGUUGUAAACUGCUUUUAUCUGGGGAUAAACCUACUUACGUGUAAGUAGCUGAAGGUACCAGAAGAAUAAGCACCGGCUAACUCCGUGCCAGCAGCCGCGGUAAUACGGAGGGUGCAAGCGUUAUCCGGAUUUAUUGGGUUUAAAGGGUCCGUAGGCGGACUGAUAAGUCAGUGGUGAAAUCCGACAGCUUAACUGUCGAACUGCCAUUGAUACUGUUAGUCUUGAGUAAGGUUGAAGUGGCUGGAAUAAGUAGUGUAGCGGUGAAAUGCAUAGAUAUUACUUAGAACACCAAUUGCGAAGGCAGGUCACUAAGUCUUAACUGACGCUGAUGGACGAAAGCGUGGGGAGCGAACAGGAUUAGAAACCCUUGUAGUCCCAUGA